rnacentral:rRNA from 1 species
AUUGAACGCUGGCGGCAGGCCUAACACAUGCAAGUCGAGCGGAAGAAGGGAGCUUGCUCCUGGAUUCAGCGGCGGACGGGUGAGUAAUGCCUAGGAAUCUGCCUGGUAGUGGGGGAUAACGUUCGGAACUGGGCGCUAAUACCGCAUACGCCCUGAGGGGCAAAGUGGGGGAUCUUCGGACUUCACGCUAUUAGAUGAGCCUAGGUCGGAUUAGCUAGUUGGUGGGGUAAAGGCCUACCAAGGCGACGAUCCGUAACUGGUCUGAGAGGAUGAUCAGUCACACUGGAACUGAGACACGGUCCAGACUCCUACGGGAGGCAGCAGUGGGGAAUAUUGGACAAUGGGCGAAAGCCUGAUCCAGCCAUGCCGCGUGUGUGAAGAAGGUCUUCGGAUUGUAAAGCACUUUAAGUUGGGAGGAAGGGCAGUAAGUUAAUACCUUGCUGUUUUGACGUUACCAGCAGAAUAAGCACCGGCUAACUUCGUG